AAUUUGUGAUGUGGCCAGAUAUUUAUCAGAUCCUUGAAUCUCUCCCAACAUGCCUAGAAAGUCUCGUCACCUUUCUGCAUGAACUAAUUGAUCUACUCCUGCAAGAAC